CAUUGCGGGAAGGAAAUCAAAACAAAAUAAUUAUAAAUUGAAUUAACCAGAUCAAGGAAUAGAAAAUGAAAUCACUGGUAGGGAAAAGUUGAGAAUGUCCAGGAAUUCCCAAAGGAUAAGGAAGACUUAAAAACAGGAAGAACGAUAAAAAGAAAAAAUAUUUAAUCAAAAAACAAUUGACAUUCUUAAGGAAAACAAUCAAAAAUUAAAAUUAAAGCAAUACUAGAAAUAUAAAAGCUUUUCUAUACCAAAACCAAUCUUGAGUAUAUAAGAUAAAGUGGCUCAAAAUAUUAUAGAUUAUAUAAAUAUAAAUAGCUCCAAGAUGUAUCUUCAUUGCAGUUAUUAAAUUUCAAAGCUAUAUAUUUUUAAAAGUAUGUAACUUGGAAAUAAACUAAGUUAGUAAAAAAACAAUGGAGAAAAGUUAGUCUCUGUGACUAAAUUUUAAGUAGCUAAAGAUACUAAAAUGGAGACACUUGAGAAAUGUAAGGUACGUAUAGUGACCCUGGAGUUUUGUGUGCAUUUAAUGUGCGGCAGCCUUGAUUUCUUGCGCUCUCAAAAUAAGUCACCCAUGUACUUAUCACACGCAAAAAAAUUGCUCAAAACUAUACUUUAAUAAACCUUGUCAUUAAUACAAAGAAUCAAAAAACAAAAAGACCCUAAAAGAGUUCAGUGAGUAUUGAUACGAUUGAAAUAUGGAAGUUUAAACAUUGGUAUGAAUAAGGUAAUUAAAUUUUUAAAAAUCAUGAAAGCAACAUAUUUUAAAGUUUCAGUAAGAACUUUUAAGAAUUUCCGGAAACAUAACAUAAUACUAUAUAUCUCUACACUUACAUUAAAAAUUGAACGAGGAAUGAAAUUUUUCAGUAUACUUUGCAUUGUAUAAAAUUAACUUCGUCUCCAAAGGACGCAUAAUAAUGGCAUGUACGUGAAAAGAUGAUUUUGUUAAUCACUGGAAAAUGCAGAUUAAAACCACUUAGGACUAUACUGCUAUUAGCAUGACUAAAUUUAGUACUAUUGACUCUACCAACUAUUGAAGAAAAUACAUGCUCAUUCACUUUUGGUGGGCAUAUAAAAUGAUAAAAACACUUUAAAACACAGUUUGACAGUUACUUAAGAACGUCAGUGAAAAGCCGCUGCACACUGCAGCCCUUCCAUCCCUAGGUAUUAACCAAGAAGAAGGAAAACAUUUAUGUUCAUAAACACACCACUUACUACCAGCUUUAUAACAGCCAGAAAUUGGAAAUAAUUCACAUUUCCAUCAACAAGGAUAUCGAUAGACACUGGAAUACUGUUAAGCAGAUAAAGAACUUUUGUUAUGCACAAUCUCAAUUAUGUUGAUUCAUAAAAAAUUUUCAUUCCACUUAUAGAGAAUUCCAGAAAGUGCAAACUUAUAACAGCAGCAGAUCAGCGGGUGUCUGGAGCGGGGUGGAGAGCUGCAGCCAGGCUUUACCAGGAGUCUCGGAAAGCUCCAGAGGUGUGAAGCUAUGUGGUGAAACAUCCGCUCCUCUUCUUAAACCAUGACUCUGAGGAUUUUUGAAAACCAGUCAACAAUAUUUGGAAGAAAAUUCCAAGUUAAAAGAUAUGUUUAUACAUUGAGUGCCAAGACUGCUGUAGGCUCUCAGAGUACAGGACUUACUGACAGUGAUGUGUCGCUGAGAGUAGAAACAUCCCCAUCACUUAGAGUAAAUAGGUUCAUUUGAUUUAUCAGCCAGUCUUAAGAGACACCUCACAAGUUUUGCAGAAGAUCUCACACAGAUGCUUAAUUAAGGCCAUUAACAUAAUGAAGCCAUGAAAUAUUAUGACUUGAAAGGAUUAACAACAUUUCGAUCAUCCUGACAAAAAUAAACAAAAUAAAAAUUCC